ACGGAAGGCAGCAGUGGGGGAUAUUGCACAAUGGGGGAAACUCUGAUGCAGCAAUGCCGCGUGAGGGAAGACGGUCUUCGGAUUGUAAACCUAAGUAGUCAGGGAUGAAGAAAGUGACGUUACCUGAAGAGUAAGCUCCGGCUAACUACGUGCCAGCAGCCGCGGUAAUACGUAGGGAGCGAGCGUUGUCCGGAUUUACUGGGUGUAAAGGGUGCGUAGGCGGGCUUGCAAGUCAGGCGUGAAAUACCGGGGCUUAACUCCGGGGCUGCGCUUGAAACUGUAAGUCUUGAGUGAAGUAGAGGCAGGCGGAAUUCCCAGUGUAGCGGUGAAAUGCGUAGAUAUUGGGAGGAACACCAGUGGCGAAGGCGGCCUGCUGGGCUUUAACUGACGCUGAGGCACGAAAGUAUGGGGAGCAAACAGGAUUAGAUACCCUGGUA
rnacentral:rRNA from 1 species